UGACGCCCGGAGGAAUCUGAGCUGGGCCUCGGGAGGUCGUAGCCUGGAAGGAGGGGGCGACCCUUAAGCCCUGCGGAUGAUUAAAGAGGAAGUUACAUCUUCUGGGAUCAGGGAGAAGAGAAUCUCACCCCCGACUCCUAACAGGCCUUCAACCCAGGGAGUCAUACCAGGAAACCAGUUCAAAUGAAACAAGUUCCUACCUCACCCCAACCUAACCCCUUGGAUCUUCCCCUACCCAGCCUCCCUCCUCUUCUUAGAUGGAACCCCCUCCCAGCCCACCCCCAAUCCAAGGACACCACCAGUGCCACCCCUGGGAUACCCCAAGCCCAAGAGGGGUCUCUACAAUCAUCAUUCCCAGCACCUCCAUGCCUUUGAUGAAGAUUCUCAAAGCGAUUUCCCAUCAAGGAUGUCAAUUACAACAGGGUUUCAAAGUAAGUUUCAAGUCAAGCCUUUUUCUUCUAAUUAAUCUUAAUCCAAACUACAUUCAGAGUGGAUCAAAAUGGGACUGGCUCUAGUUAGAGUCCGGCCUGGAGUCCCACCACUUCUCAGGAUAAGCUGACCGCCUUGUGGAGAUACCUGCUUAGGAAGCCAGGGCUUGGCAGAGCAGUUGAAAAUGUGCAUAUGCUAACAGAAGAGUCAUUCAGUUUCUAAGAGAACAUCUUUUCAGGGCUGGAGGGAGGGGCUACCCAGGACAGGAAUGGCUAGGGGCUACUCUGGCUAGAGGUCUCUGCUUAGAUUUGGGGAGAACAUCACAGGCUGGAUUGAGACUAACCAGUGGGGAGUCCAAGAACUUCAGAAGUUACUCUAUCGGGAGAGAGAUCAGGGUUCAUUUAUGCCCUGAGCGAGAAGUUUCUCCCCAUUUGGUGAUUGGUGGUGAGUGGCAAUCUCUGGGAGCAGGUGGUGGGCUUUCCUCAUGGUGUCCUGAGUUUGGGGCUGAAGGCUAGAGGGGGAACUUGCUGGCUCUCCUCAGCCUCAGACUCUCCCU